UCGCUCAGCCUCAACCCCCGAUUCCUCUCCCUUGUUUGCAGCCACCGCGGCCACCCGCGUCCUCCCCCCGCAACUGGCGCCCCCAUCCCUUCUCUCCUUCCCUCACCACCUCCCCACCACCGACGAGCUCCUCCCCUCUUCCUCGCCCCAGAUCGACCAGCAGGGCCAGAUCCUACCGCCAUUCAUGCAUCUCGCCCUCGUCACCGGCCGCCGCUGCCGUGCCCCCCUCCCCCCCGCGCGGUGCUGAGGUGCGUAUGGAGGCUUUGGGCCAGGGCAGCCGACAGCGAGAUGCAGAGAAGCCCUAGGUAUAGGUGACAGGAGGCGAUGGGUGGCGGGUCGAGCCGCGAUGUUGGGACGGCUAUGUGAAGAAGAGAGAGGUUGUCUCUCCAACUAUUUGUGUGAUGGGGGGCAGAUGAAAGGGAACAACUAUGAAGUGAUGGUGGAUCUUCUUGAGAGUUGUGCACUGGAUCGAGGCAGUCAACCAUAAAUCAUUGGUAAAGGAGAGAGGGUUGGGCGCUUGAGGCGACGAGGAGCCACUCUUGCCGGCUGCAGCGACUACUCCAAGUGGAGGUGGAGCGAAGCAGCGGUUCACGCCAGGCCGGGCCCAGGACAACGACUUUAGGGGUGCCGUGCCCUGCAUAUUUCGUCGGGAUUUGUUCCUGAUGUGAGAAUGUAUAUGUUGAAAAUGGAGGAAAUGAGAUCUUAGGUAGUCAGGCGUGUGUUUGCAGUUGCAGUAACACAAAGAAGAUGGUGGCAAAUAGUUUGAGUCUGAAGAUCAUUUGUGUCCCUCUUGUCUGUUGCUUGUGGAAUUGUAGAAACAACGAUUAAUGUGAUGUAUGUGAGGGGCCAUUAAAGUGACUUACCUGGAGAAGAUGUGUUCAUUGCUGAAACUGGAUACAAGGGUGCUUCCUUCUUCCAGGAUAUCGACGAAGCCUGGCAACUAUAGAUUUUCCUUAGCACAAGUGCAGGCAGAUCUUAAUCAAUGUUACUCCAGUUGAUGAUGUUAUGAAGCUUCCUUCAGUAACUGUGAGUUCACGGUCUGCGGCGAUCGAGGAAACACCAUAACAUUGGAGCUGGAGAUCAAGCACCUGGAGCAGUACCUCAUAACAUUGUACAUGAAAGCAUUUGAGGAAGCACCUACAGUGAGUUCACGGUCUGCGGCGAUCGAGGAAACACCAAAGGCAAAGGCGACUGUCGAAAGAGGUAGUGAUGCAAUGCUCCAUUACAGCUGCCUCCCCUUAGCAAGAGGAGGAAUGGCACAUGGAGGAUUCCUCUCCAUCCAAAUGCCCAAGGAAGGGUUGAUGGUCAUGAAUCAAAGUUAACUUCCUCUCUACUUAUCAUUUAACUGUGACAAAGAAUUUGAGCCAGCACUAAUACAAUUGUCUGAUGCUUUGCAAAGUAGGCAUUAAGAAUAUGAAAGAGAACUUGCAAUUCCAUUUGUCAAUGUGCAGUGUCACGGAACACAUUUACAUUUUGCAGGUAUGUUCUGGUUCAUACUUACAAAAUAGGUGACAUGGUGCCCACAUAUUCAACUCAUAAUUUGUCAUUACUUUCCACUUUGUUUAUACAUAUGUCGGUUCGAGCAAUGCAUUAGAAUUAAUCACAAAUUAAUUUGCUUAAGAUUUCAUUUUCCAUUGCUUGUUUGGUAUUAAGAUGAUGACUGACAUAGGCAGAUAACAAGUUAACAACGACAUCAAGUUGUCGGUAGCUGCGACAUCAACGGAUGGAGGGUACACCUGCUGUAGCGGACUUCGUCGUCUCAUCGACAAGCUCACCUGUGACAGUACACCAGCUGCAGCUCUGGUGGGACGCUGGAGCUCAUGGCAGCGUUUAUGGCGAUGUGCCUCGUCUGUACCCGAACUACAUGUAUGUGCAAUGCAGGGAGGGACGGUGUGCAUCGGAUGGGACCCGGCACGGCGCGCGGCCGAUGAGGAAGAGAUGAGGAAGAGGACCAGCGGAGGGGGCUUGACAAGGUGUCGCUGGCUGCCUUGCCGGUGUCCAGAUUCAGGGCAGAGUGCGUGGCGGCACCAAGAAGGUUGGGGAAGAUUGCGCGAUAUAUCUGUGCACCAUGCAGGAUGGAUCCGGCAUGGCGGCCGGGCCGACAAGGAAGAGGACCAGUGGAGGGGUGCUCGACAAGGCGACGCUAGCACCAAUGCCGGUGCUCAUAUUCAAGGCAGGGGCAAGGCGGAGGCGCGCGAUGGCGCAAAGGUUGGUAGCUGCUGCAUACGUGUUGCUUUAUGAUCUUGCCUUCUUGGAAGCGUGGGUGUUGCUUCAAUUGGAACCAAUAUUUUUUUGCCAUGACUUCUAGAUUGUCAUACUACUUGACUUUUGCAUCAGUGAUAUUUGAGAUUAUUCAAAUGAAUUUGUAAUUAAGUUCGUAUGGUUGAUGA